AACGAACGCUGGCGGCAGGCUUAACACAUGCAAGUCGAGCGCCCCGCAAGGGGAGCGGCCGACGGGUGAGUAACGCGUGGGAACGUACCUUUUGGUUCGGAACAACUCCGGGAAACUGGAGCUAAUACCGGAUAAGCCCUAACGGGGAAAGAUUUAUCGCCGAAAGAUCGGCCCGCGUCUGAUUAGCUAGUUGGUGAGGUAACGGCUCACCAAGGCGACGAUCAGUAGCUGGUCUGAGAGGAUGAUCAGCCAUACUGGGACUGAGACACGGCCCAGACUCCUACGGGAGGCAGCAGUGGGGAAUAUUGGACAAUGGGCGCAAGCCUGAUCCAGCCAUGCCGCGUGAGUGAUGAAGGCCUUAGGGUUGUAAAGCUCUUUUGUCCGGGAAGAUAAUGACUGUACCGGAAGAAUAAGCCCCGGCUAACUUCGUG
rnacentral:rRNA from 1 species